rnacentral:misc_RNA from 1 species
ACUCUUCAACCCACCGGUUCCUUGUUGGAUCGAGUUGGUGUUUGGAUUUUGAGCGUUGCUGACUAUUUGAUUCAGUUCAAAAAAAGUGUAGCUCGUUCGUAAUACAUUAGCAUCUCAAUUACGAAACUCGGAUUGACUCAGCGUUGUAGACUAUUCGCUGAGGACAUGAGUCAAAUCAUGGCCGAAUUUAAGUUAACUAGAAGCUCCUAAUCCCCCAUACUUAGUCAAAACUAUAAG